rnacentral:rRNA from 1 species
AUGCAUGUUUAAGCAGAAGCCGCACAAUGGUAAAGCCGCGAAUGGCUCAUUACAACAGCCGUCGUUUCUUGGAUCUCUAAUUUUACUUGGAUAACUGUGGUAAUUCUAGAGCUAAUACACGCACUAAAGCUCUGACCUUAUGGGACGAGCGCAUUUAUUAGAACAAAACCAAUCGGGUUUCGGCCCGUUCGUUGGUGACUCUGAAUAACUCUGCCGAUCGCACGGUCUCGCACUGGCGACGUAUCUUUCAAGUGUCUGCCUUAUCAACUUUCGAUGGUAGUUUAUGUGCCUACCAUGGUUGUAACGGGUAACGGAGAAUAAGGGUUCGACUCCGGAGAGGGAGCCUGAGAAACGGCUACCACAUCCAAGGAAGGCAGCAGGCGCGCAAAUUACCCACUCUCAGCACGAGGAGGUAGUGACGAAAAAUAACGAGACGGAUCUCUUUGAGGCCCGUUAUUGGAAUGAGAACAAUUCAAAUCCUUUAACGAGGAUCUAGCGGAGGGCAAGUCUGGUGCCAGCAGCCGCGGUAAUUCCAGCUCCGCAGGUGUAUAUCUAUGCUGCUGCGGUUAAAAAGCUCGUAGUUGGAUCUGCGUGCUCGGAACUGGUUGGCUCACUGAGUUCAAACUGGUCUCCGGCGCUUUAUUUGCUGGUUUUCCCUUGAUGCUCUUAACCGGGUGUCUCGGGUGGCUAGCGUGUUUACUUUGAAAAAAUUAGAGUGCUCAAUACAGGCGCAAAGCCUUGAAUAGUGGUGCAUGGAAUAAUAGAAUAGGACCUCGGCUCUAUUUUGUUGGUUUUCGGAACGCGAGGUAAUGAUUAAGAGGGACAGACGGGGGCAUUCGUAUUGCGACGUUAGAGGUGAAAUUCUUGGAUCGUCGCAAGACGGACGACUGCGAAAGCAUUUGCCAAGAAUGUUUUCAUUAAUCAAGAACGAAAGUUAGA